AAAUGACAUAUCGAAGUAAAACCAAAUGGGAAAAGUUAAAUAUUCCCCUUCCACUGGAUAUUUUAGUGGCCAAAUUAUUUUUUUAAUUUAUGAUUAUUCAUUCUCCUUAUUCAUUCAUCCAUAUAGCCAUCUGCUUACUUAAAAAGAAUCUAUGGAACAUAAGCUAUGUGAUAAGUACAUGGAAUAAAGAGAAGAUAUGUUUGGCAUAUCUUAAAGAAGCAGAAACAUCACUGAAUAUCCAUCAGUGAAAAUCUAAAAAUAUGAAAACCAAGUCUUCAGAGCGGCAGCAAUGAAUCAAACCUAUUACUGAGACUUUAAGCCUCUCCAGCUGCAUGUGAAGGAGGUGUGAAAAAAUGAAAGUUCAAUAAUCUAAAAAAAGUAGUGCCUUUCCGCACUUUGUGGGAUGGUGGUGAUUGUGGAGCACACAAAGUAGUAUUCACUCAGUGGGUGAUUUUUGCAGUAGCAGUCUGAUCUAAGUCUAAAUCUCAAUCCAAAAUUAAAACUCAAGAUGUGUUUCAUUGCUUCUGAGCCAACAUUUUUCUGUACUGUAUUCUCUAGCUAAGCUCCUCUAUGUCUCUGAUCAUCUUGUGAUUUUACCUUAUUUCAAGUGAAAGUCUUUAGAACAUCCCUUUUGAAAAAAAAAUGUGCAAUUUUAAAACACACCUGCCUGGAUGAUUGCUUCUUAUUUUCAUUACCUCAUUUGGAAAAUCAUAAAUUGUCUCUUAUAUAAGAUGGAAUAGUAAAAUGGAGUGGAAAAUGUCUCCAGAAUUUCAUGUUUCUCACUGUGUUAUCCUGGGAGAUCCUCAAUUUACAGAAUAUAGCUACAAGGAUUUUUCAGUCUUUUAACUUGUGGUGUUCAAAAUGAUAUAUUAUGAUAAAUAUGAAGAGAUAAAUUUUCUUUUGGUGGAAAGAUAAAAAUUGAUUGCAACCUUGUUUUUCUUUCAUAUGGUUUUGUUAUUACACUCAAAUAAUAAGUUAAUAAAAUGUACUGAUAGUGUUUCAAAUAAACUUUGAUGAAAAUCAUGAUUUCACAUACACUCAAAAAGCUAUUUGUAAUUGCUAAUGUAACGGAGUACAUAAUGAAAUUAAGUAACUAGUUUGUUAUGAGCUCUUUGUACUUAAAGCUCUGUCUAACAGAGCUUUGCUUCAACAAAAUAGCAUCAGAUCUCCAGGUUUACCGACAAAAUUGUCUUAAUGUAAAAUUACUGAGCAUAAAGAUAACCUCAUAUAGCAAGGAAAAAAACUUAUGUAAAUAACCACUCAGAUGACAAG
rnacentral:lncRNA from 1 species